UCUAUUACUCUUUGAAUCUUUGAUGAAUAAAUAAAUAUAAAUAGGUCGCCGACGCCGUCCCCGCUUCGAAUACCCUGGAUCAGCCGGGGCUGGACCCCGGCAACAUACUUUGUCAGUUUCUAAAGGUACAAGCCUGCUGCUCUUAAAGUUGUGUCUGAAGUAUGUAGCCUUCUCCACAUGAGGUAAUUCAACUACCAGAGUAAUCCUCUUAUCUUUGGAGACUUUCUGCCUAAAAUGAUUUGAUGGCUUUUAAUUACCAUGAAAAUAAAACCUAAUAUUUUUAAAUCAGCUUUAUAAAUCCUGUAUAACCAGGGUGUACUUCUCUUAACCUCCCUUGAAUAUUUAGGUACUACCCAACCGGACUGCUUCCUGCCUCUGAAAUACAAAUGGUCUUUUCUCCUCCUUAAACCUCUUAUGUCUUAUUGUCCCCAUGUGGCCCUUUUUUUUCUGUCAUCCAAGAUAUGAUAGUCCUGAUGCGUUUUGAAUCAUAAAGGAGUGGGCAAUGAGAAAACACACUUAGCAAGCUGGAGGAAGGAGUUGAAAUGCUUGACAGAGGCUGAGGAUAAAUGUGUAUGUGUUCCUCCUUCCUGCUACAGCUUUCUGUUAACCCCCACCUCAGCUCGAUUUUGCUGUUUCUUUUCUCCUUUCUCUCACUGUCAUGCCAAACUGUGAGAAAAGGCUGAGAUAAUGGGCCCUGUGAUUAUAUGUUUUGUUACUUGUUAUGUGACUUUUUUGUUGGAUAGAAACUGUCCCCUGCUUUUGUCUCCUUGGGAAUCCUAAUUUUCUUUUGGAAAUAAGUCUUAUAAUGUGGUGAGGUAUUUGCCCCUCUUUCCAUUCUAAAAACAAAAAACAAAAUAAAGUCAUCUUCAUCUCUUC